rnacentral:rRNA from 1 species
GGUAGGGGAGCGUUCUGUAAGCCUGCGAAGGUGUGCUGUGAGGCAUGCUGGAGGUAUCAGAAGUGCGAAUGCUGACAUAAGUAACGAUAAAGCGGGUGAAAAGCCCGCUCGCCGGAAGACCAAGGGUUCCUGUCCAACGUUAAUCGGGGCAGGGUGAGUCGACCCCUAAGGCGAGGCCGAAAGGCGUAGUCGAUGGGAAACAGGUUAAUAUUCCUGUACUUGGUGUUACUGCGAAGGGGGGACGGAGAAGGCUAUGUUGGCCGGGCGACGGUUGUCCCGGUUUAAGCGUGUAGGCUGGUUUUCCAGGCAAAUCCGGAAAAUCAAGGCUGAGGCGUGAUGACGAGGCACUACGGUGCUGAAGCAACAAAUGCCCUGCUUCCAGGAAAAGCCUCUAAGCAUCAGGUAACAUCAAAUCGUACCCCAAACCGACACAGGUGGUCAGGUAGAGAAUACCAAGGCGCUUGAGAGAACUCGGGUGAAGGAACUAGGCAAAAUGGUGCCGUAACUUCGGGAGAAGG